rnacentral:tRNA from 6 species
UCGGUAGCUCAGUCGGUAGAGCAGAGGACUGAAAAUCCUCGUGUCGGCGGUUCGAUUCCGUCCCGA